GCCAUCAUGGACUGUACCUUCAGACGGAAGAUGGCAAUCUUUGACCUGUUUCCUGCGCAGAUGCUCUGAGGACUGUGUAGGACAAUGCAGGAGCAGCAAGUGUCUGCUGUGUGCUGGAUUAUAAGGCAUAUUCUGGAAGGCAAAAAAGCAAAAAACUGGCAGAAAGCAACUAAGCAGAAUACAGAAUGUCUUGGGUCUAAGCUUCCAGGUUCUUCAUAACUAUUUGCAUCAAGGUAGCUGAAGGAAAAACAUGGACCAGUCCCAGAACUUGGAAAAACCAUUCCACUUCAAGCAUCCAAAGGGCCCAAACAUCAUCUGGACCGGAUGAGUCUGGAGGAGACAAAGACCUUGAUCUAGAGGCAGGAGAAGCCGAGAAGAACCAGAGGAAGAGGGAGAGAAAGGACUCAUCGACUGGACAAAACAAGUCAUGAGGUCACUCCUGACUUCAAGGUGAAGAAGGAUAGGAAGUACUGAUAAAUAGUGGUGGUGUCCACCACAGAGGUCAUCUGAGAAUGGGCUGAAGGUCAAGCAUGCUGCACAGGAUCAUUCAGAGGUACAGAGAAACAAGAAGGAUGGCUAGCAAAUGUACAGGUAUCUGUAGCCCUGAGCAGAGGCAUCAUAGGAGCAGCUGACUGCAGAAUGUGGGGCAACCAGAAGAAAGGAGGACUCCUGAGAAGAGAGAGUAGGACUCGAGCUUCCACCAGCCAGAGGAAGAAACGAGAGAGAGGGAGAUUGAGAUUGGUCACCAGGAAGAGUGGGUCCAAGAGAGCACCAUGGGAAGAAACAUCAAAAGCAGAGAGAGUUAGGACAGUUUUAAACGAACACAAUGCAUCUGAGCUUUACUGGGAACACAGGAGGCCUAAUCAAUAAAGCCAUCUGAACAUCGAACAUCCUUUUCCAUUGAGUUGGUGAUUCAGAAAUCGUCCAGGAUCCUGACUGAUAUGAGGUUCACACCAUCUGAAAUGCCAACUUUUAUCACCUAUAACCAUAGAUGUGAGAGUGGAUUUCUAUAUAAG
rnacentral:lncRNA from 1 species